UUUCAGCCUGGUGCGUUGCACACUUGUUUGAAAUAGUGUAGGCCACUGAGUCAUGAAGGCCAUAGUCAAAUCAAAGGACCAAACAAACUACGACAGGUCCACAAUAUCAUAUGGUCCAUUCCAACUUUUCCAUUCACAGUCUGUGGCACAGAGUUUUAUUUUCCAGCUUCUUUACUUCAAAACGUCAUAAAAGGUCGUUGGGUGCACUACAUCUCCUGUCAUGCAUGGGUUUUGUCGAAGAAUCGGAUCACAAGGGUCUAUUGCAUACAAUCGGUAACAUGAUAAUAACUUUAUUGGUUACUCUAAGAUUCCAUAAAUUGACUCCGGAGAGAGCAAGUGUAUACCAUCUACUUUAGUAGAUGUUUCUAUUUUUUUUUUUCCUUUUAUCAUUAAUUAAUUAAUUUUGGGGAAAGAACACGAAUAGCCACUCGGCUUAAAUAAAUCUGGCCGAAUGACCAUUGAUUUUUAAAUUCUAAAAUAUAGUCAUUUAGGCCUUUUUUGCUACUAUCUUCAUCCUUUUCCCUUUAAAUGCUAAGUAAAUAGCAUAAGCUCAUUUCUGAUUCAGAGGAUGCAUUGAUUUCGUCCAACGAACCUCGUAGCCAACACACAAUUUUUGACUUUAUGGAGGGAGAAUAAAAAUAGUGAAAUGCAAGUAAAACAUAAACGCAUCAAUACAAUAAUAUAUUUUUGGAAGACCGAAAAUUAAUGCUAGACAAUAACUUUAGACAGAAGAUUUGCAUUUUUUUAAACACAAUAAACUCAGAAAAGUAAUGAAUUUUGUGUUAACCCCACACUUCUAAUUGGUAUAGUUUUUCUAACAAUCAAAUACGAUUUUAUAACAUUAUAAUUGUUGCUCUUCUUUUUUUAUCAAUCAAAUACAAUAUUUGAUAUCAAAUACAUGAAUCUUUGAUACCAAAUACAAAUACAUAUUUUAUACAACAAUUGUAUAAAAGUGUAUCAAUGUGGUAUAAAAGUGUAUCAAAAUGCUAUAAAAGUGUAUCUAUGCAGUAUAAAAGUGUAUCAAUAUGGUAUAAAAGUAUAACAAUUGGGUAUAGAGACAACAUGCGAUCGACCGGCCAAAUGGCUAAAAACCGAAAUUAAAUUGGGCCGACUGACUCCAAUUGUCCAACUUUUAUAUGGGCUGUCCAUUUCUUUUCAAAAUGGUCAGCCCAUGUCCUUUUCCCAUUAAUUUUCCAUAAAGUAUUUUAGUGUUCGGCCUCAUGGGCCCUGAUUAGGUUUGAGCUGAAAAACUUCUUUAAAUUUUAAAUGGGCUUAAAAUGGAAAUUCUACCUCAACUAGUGGGUUGGGUUAAGCUGUACUCAGGGCCCUGUCAAUUUUUAUGGCUCUAUUAAGUGACAACUGAUCAGAUGUAAGACCAUUCUAAAGAAUUAGCAAAAGGAAAAUUUACGUCCAAGUACAAUAUAUCAAGUGUUAUAAAAUAAAAAAGAACAAGAAGAAGAGUAGAGAGAAUAGAGAGAGUAAUUGUUAUUUCUUCUCUUGAGGGAUGAUUUACGAUGAAGGAAACCCUUCUAUUUAUAGGGGGAAUUUUCCCUAGUUUCAUAAUAAAAAACGAAUACAUCAAAUCCUGAUAGACAUUCACUAUAAUUGAUAUAUAUCAUAACACUCCCCCUUGAAUGUCUAACAAUACGCAUAUAGGCUACUUCAUUAGAAACCUUACAAGGAAAAUCCAGUGGGACAAAACCUCGAAAGGGAAAAAGAGUACAACACGUAUUAGCUCCCCCAAAUAAGAACAUCCUUGAAGCUUUGCAUUCCGAUCUUGUGCACCAUCUUCUUGAAAGUUGCAGUUGGAAGAGACUUGGUGAAUAAAUCAGCCACAUUGUCACUUGAACGAAUCUGUUGUACGUCAAUAUCACCAUUCUUUUGGAGCUCAUGUGUAUAGAAGAACUUUGGUGAAAUGUACUUUGUUCUAUCUCCUUUUAUGAAUCCAUCUUUCAGUUAUGCUAUGCAUGCUACAUUAUAUUCAUAUAAAAUUAUGGGUACUUUGUCACAUUUCAAUCCAUAUUUUUCUUGAAUGGGAUAUAUUAUGAACCUCAACCACACACACUCUCGGUUUGCUUCAUGAACAGCUAUAAUCUUGUGAUUUGAUGAAGUGGCUACGAUAGACUGCCUUGUUGAUCUCCAAGAUAUGGCAGUACCCCCAUAUAUGAAUACAUAGCCUGUUGGAGACCGAACUUUAUGCGGGUCGGAUAAGUAUCCAGCAUCAGCAUAACCAACAAGAUCGGAAUUGUAAUCUUUAGAAUAAAAUAAGCCCAUAUCGGUAGUCCCCUUUAGAUACCGUAAUAUGUGUUUGAUCCCAUUCCAAUGUCUCCUAGUAGGAGCAGAACUAUAUCUUGCUAGCAAAUUUACUGAAAAGGCAAUAUCAGGCCUUGUAGUAUUUGCAAGAUGCAUUAGUGCACUAAUUGCACUAAGAUAUGGUAUUUCAGGACCAAGGAGUUCCUCAUUCUUUCCUUGAGGUCGAAAUGGAUCCUUAUUCACAUCAAGUGAUCGAAUAACCAUCGGAGUACUUAAUGGAUGUGCUUCAUCCAUAUAGAAUUAUUUCAACACCUUUUCUGUAUAGGCAGAUUGAUGGACAAAGAUACCGUUUGUCAAAUGCUCAAUUUGCAAACCAAGGCAUAACUUUAUCUUUCUGAAAUAUUUCAUCUCAAACUCUUUCUUUAGGUAAGCAAUUGCCUUUUGAAGCUCUAUUGGCAUUCCAAUAAGGUUUAUGUCAUCGACAUAGACAACAAGUAUAACAAACUCCGACGUUAUUUUCUUUAUGAAAACACAUGGGCAAAUUUCAUCAUUCGUAUAACCUUCUUUAGAUAAAUAUGCACUAAGACGGUUAUACCACAUACGUCCAGAUUGCUUCAAACCAUACAAUGAUCUUUGCAAUCUAAUGGAAUACAUUUCCCGAGGCUUUGAACUAUAUGUUUUUUGCAUUUUAAAUCCUUCGAGAAUUUUCAUGUAUAUCUCAUUAUCAAGUGAUCCAUAUAGAUAGACUGUUACCACAUCCAUCAAAUGCAUUUCAAGUCUCUCAUGAAUAGUGAAACUAAUAAGAUAACACAAUGUUAUUGCAUUCAUAACUGGUGAAUAUGUCUUAUCAUAAUCGACACCAGGCCGUUGUGAAAAUCCUUGUGCAAUAAGGCGUGCUUUAUAUCUUUGUAUUUUAUUUUUUUCAUUUCUUUUUCGCACAAAGACCCAUUUAUAGCCAAGAGGCUCAACACCAUUAGGUGUUUGAUCUAUGGGUCCAAAAACUUCACGUUUGGCGAGCGAAUUCAAUUCAGAUUGAAUUGCUUCUUACCAUUUUGGCCAGUCAUUUAUUUGUCGACAUUCUGUGACAGAUCGAGGUUCAAGAUCCUCGCUAUCUUGCAUGAUUUUCGUUGCAACAUUAUAUGCAAAGACAUGAUCCACUACUAUUUCAGAUCGAUUCAGAUUAGUUUCAACAUCACUUGAAUUUAUGGAUAGUUCCUCAUUUUCUUGAGUCUCAGGCUCAUUGAUUCCUUCAAGGAUAUCAACAUUGCUCAAAUAUUGAACUUCCGUAUGUGGAUCUUUCGUAGUGUCAUCUUGAUCAUUUUUUUUCUUUUUCUAGGAUUUCGAUCCUUAGAACCUAAUGGUUUGCCACGUUUCAAGCGUGCUUUAGAUUCAUUAUCUAUGACACUAGUGGAUGAUCCUUUAGGGACAUCAAUUCAAAUUGGGACAUUCUCUACAGGAAUAUGUGAUUUAGUGAUCCUUUUCAAAUCUGUAAAUGUGUCUGACAUUUGAUUUGUAAUUCUUUGCAGAUGAAUAAUCUUUUGUACUUCUUGCUCACAAAUAGAAGCACGUGGAUCAAGAUGAGAUAGUGAUAAAUUUUUUCACAAAAUUUCUCUUUUGAUAUCGCUAUCUUCUCCCCCUAAUUUUGGGAAAAGUAUCUCAUUAAACCGAUAAUCUGCAAUUCAAGCAGUGAACAUAUCUCCCGUUAAUAGUUCAAGAUAGCGAAUAAUAGAGGGUAAUUCAAACCCAACAUAAAUUCCUAACCUUCUUUGGGGGCCCAUCUUGGUGCGGUUUGGUGGUGCUAUAGGCACAUAGACACAGCACCCAAAAGUUCUCAAGUGAGAUAUAUUAGGCUUUUGACCUAAAACCAAUUACAAUGGAGAAAAUUUAUGAUAAUUUAUCGGUCUAAGACGAAUAAGUGUUGCAGUAUGCAAAAUUGCAUGACCCCUAACAGAAGUGGGCAACUUAGUUUUCAUCAGUAAUGGUCUUGCUAUCAACUGCAAACGUUUAAUUAAUGACUCAGCAAGGCCAUUUUGAGUGUGAACAUGGGGUACAGGAUGUUCCACUCUUAUCCCAAUCUAUAAGCAAUAGCCAUUAAAUGCCUGGGAUGAAAAUUCUGCAGCAUUAUCAAGGCGAAUAGACUUAAUUUGAUUAUCAGGAAAUUGAGCCCGUAAUCAUAUUAUUUGUACCAACAAUUUUGUAAAUGCCAAGUUGCGAGAUGACAAAAGGCACACAUGAGACCAUCUAGAAGAAACAUCUAUUAGGACCAUGAAGUAUCUAAACGACCCACUUGGUGGGUGAAUUGGACCAUAAAUGUACCCAUGUAUGCGUUCCAAGAACGCGGGGGACUCAAUCCCAACUUUUGUUGGCGAUGGUCUCACAAUCAGCUUGCCUUGAUAACAAGCAUUACUUGAAAAUUCACUAUUCAAAAGAACCUUCAAGUUCUUUAAUGGAUGCCCAUUUGAAUUUUCUAUUAUUCAUCUCAUCAUUAUUGAUCCUAGAUGUCCCAGACGAUCAUGCCAAAGUAUGAAAGUAUUGGAAUCAGUAAACUUCCGGUUUACUAUAAAAUGUGCCUCAAUUGCACAAAUCUUUAUCCAAUACAGGCCAGAAGAUAAAGCAGGGAACUUUUCAACAACACAUGUCUGCCCAGAGACAUUCUUGGUGAUACCAAGAUAUUCAAGAUUCAUCUCAUCAAAUGUCUUGAUAUGAUAACCAUUUUCACGGAUAUCUUUAAAACUCAUCAAGUUUCUUCGAGACUUGGGAGAGAACAUAGCAUUAUUUAUGAUGAGUUUAGUUCCCUUGAGCAAGAUUAUAAUGGUUUUUCCGAAACCUUCAAUCAAAUCAGCACUACCAAAAAUUGUAGUAACAUAUUAAUCUUGUCCAUGUUUAUAUGAGAGAAAUAUUUCUUGUCUUUGAAUAUCGAUCGUCUUUGAAUAUAAUAUGUGUAGUGCUAGAAUCAAUCAAACAUAUAUCUUCACAAUUUGACAGCUUACUUUGAAAAUUAUCUAUAUCUUCAAAUAAAAUGACAUACACCAAAUAAUAUAUAUAUUUAAUUUUUGUACAAAGUGAAAGCUUAUACUAUAAGGAAUGGUUAAUCACCCUUUACUAAGCAAUUAAAUAAAGUAUGUCCAACUCAAAAUUUCACAAUUUUUCAAAUACCUUAAUACUUUACUGGAGAAAAAUAAUAAUUUAUUCUUUAAUUCUUUAAUACACAAACAAGAUGAAAAAGGAACUCAGACAAGUUUAAACCAUAAAAUUAAAUACAACACCAUGUCAGUAGAUUAAUUUAAUAGUGAAAAUGAUAAAGAUACCAAAACUACAAAUAUAUUCAUUUACACAUUGAGAUAUAUUUAACAAGAUGUUAAAUCAUGUUAUACACCAAGUAAUGCAUUAUGAAACAUUAUUAUACAGAUUAACAUAUAAAAUAUGUAUUUUACUGUAUCAUGAUGUCCCUAUAUCAUAUUCCAUAAAUUAAACCUUGAAACAUGCUACCAUUGACAUUGGUAUAAUAUGUGGUACUAAUUCAAAAUUAAAAUAACAUGAUAGCAUAUAUAUGUAUUGAUAGAAAAAUAUAUUCAUACAUAAAUAAUACGCAAAUAUUGUGCUACAUGAGCACAAUUACAACGAAAUCAUAAAUAGAGCACAGAAUAUUAAUGGUUGCAUAACAUGCAAAUUAUAUAAUAAUAUUAUUAUAUAAGUAUAUUAAAAUCACACAAUUGACAAAUACAAAAAAGUAAGAUGCUUUACUACGACCCAUUCAUUACUGCUCAUCUAAGUAGCAGAUCUAUCUCACGAAGUGUUCGUGUCACAAUUUUUUUUCAGCAAAUAGAUUUGGUGAUAAUAUUUAAAAUAUUAUAGCAGAGAUUAUAUUAAGAAGUCGUUCAUCAUCGAAAUAAAAUAAAAUUUAACUCUAUUAUUUAAUGAAUUACGACAAUACAAAAGCAAUCAAUACUAAUUAAAAACUAAUACUCAUGCAAACAACUACUUUUACAUGAUUUUUAUUCACUAACAACCAAAAAAAAUAAAAAUAAGAAUUCAUUCUUCCAUGUUUAUGAAACCAUCACCAAUCAAGUGAUCAAUCUUUCCUUCAGGGUGCUCGUAAAAGUCUGCUACAUCCAAGCAUAUGAUGUCAGCAUUAUUUUCAGAGAGAAAGUUAGCCUCGGGAUUUCUCUCUUUCUUCUUUAGUGAUGCUUGAUAAAGAUCAACCAAGUGCUUGAGAGCACGAUAGUCACGUGAAUAAUGUCCUUUUCCACCACAUCAGAAACAAGCAAUUGCUUCACGUUUCUCAUCUUUUGUCCUUUUAUUCGAUGAAUGAUUAACACCCAGAACAGGGUUUCUUUCUUGGUCAUCACGACCACGAACACGACCAUGACCACGUCCACGACCAGAGCCGCGACCUUUUCCAUGCCUAGCAUGGUGAGCGUGCACAUCAUUUACCUCUGGGAAUGGUACAGAUCCAGUUGGUCGAUUCUCAUGAUUUUUCAUUAACAAAUCAUUAUUUUGUUCAACCAUGAGAAAAUAAGAACUCAGUUUAGUAUACUUCUUUAAACCUUUUUCUCGAUAUUGUUGCUGUAAGCGCACAUUUGAGACAUGAAAAGUGGAGAGCAUCUUUUCCAUCAUAUCUGAUACAAGUAUGAUCAUGAUCAUGACACUUUUGAGUAUUUUUGAAGACUAGUCACUAAAGGGCCCUUUUGUUAUUUUGUCUGUUAUUGUAAUGUAGUAUAAAUAGAACAUUGUAGGGUUUAUUUCUUUAGUUGAUCAUUAUUAUUGAAGAAUACUUCUCUUAGAGUAAAAGAGAGUCCAAUUGAAAUUAGGGCAUAACAUAAGGGUGGAUUCUCUUGUGUGUUGCAUUUUGCUUGAUACGUUGGUUCUUGGGUGGUGGACGCCUCUCUUGUGUCAAUUGUAAGAGUUUGGUAUUUGUUGUGUGAAGUUUUAAAGGUCCAAGAGUGGAAUAUUCUCUUGGGUUGUUAAGACUACAUCAACACUUGUCUAACUACCUAUCUUGUAUCUUGUUUUAGUUUUGGCUUCUUGUGUUAUUAAUGUAACCCGUUUGUUCUUGUUGCUAUUGUAAUAUUGUGGAGCUUCAUCUUGUGUUGCUAAACUUGUUAUUGGCUAGCUGUUUUGGUGUAUUAAUACGUUGUAUCCUCUUCUUUCUUGUUCUAGAUAGUGAAUUCGAGAGAGGUCCCCAUUUGGUCCAUGUUUGUUAUGAUUUGUAGACUGUUUUGGGGUGUGAUUUUGUAUUCUAUUGUUUGUUCCCUAUCAAUAUCAUUAUCAUUGACCGUCUCUCCACAUAGUUUUAAUUGAGAAGAAAUUCUGAACAUGGUAAAAUUGUACUCAUGGGCAGACUUAUAGUUUUGAAAUUUUAGAUGCAUCCACUUAUAUCGUGCUUUCGAGAGGAUGAUCAUAUUUAAGUGGUCAAACCUUUUUUAGGCUAUUCCACAAUACGAGUGGAUCCUUAGUAGUAAGGAACUCAAUUUUCAGAACUUCAUCAAGAUGAUGACGAAACAAAAUCAUAGCCUUAGCACGAUUUCGACUAGAUGCUGUAUUUUCAUUCCUUAUGAUGUCUCCAAGAUCCAUAACAUCUAGGUGGAUUUCAGUAUCCAACACCCAUGAAAUAUAGUUAUUUUCCAAACUUUGAAGGGCAACGAACUCACACUUCGUAAGAUUGUUAGCCAUAUGGAAAAAGGAAGAAAUAAAAAAAAAUAAUACCUUAGCCUUAGCCUUCAAAUUUGAGACGGUAGAGUCUCGUGCUGAUAACGUGUUAUAAAACAAGAAAGAACAAGAAGAAAAGUAGAGAGAAUAGAGAGAGUAAUUGUUAUUUCUUCUCUUGAGGGAUGAUUACAAUGAAGGAAGCCCUUCUAUUUAUAGGGGGAAUUCGCCCUAGUUUCAUACUAAAAAACAAAUACAUCAAAUCCUGAUAGACAUCAAAUAGAUCUUGAUAGAUCUUGAUAGACAUUCACUAUAAUUAAUAUAUAUCAUAACAUCAAGUUAUAAUUACCUCGCGUAAUUAAUGUCUAAAAUAAUUAUUAUUUGCAGUUAAGAUUUAGAUUAAAUAGCUAUAUAUAUAUUGUAUUUUUAUAUUUCAGGGUUUAUAUACAAAUCACGAGACUCAUAUACAAAUGUCUAAUUUCAGGACCCUCUAAUUUCUAGCACAUAUACGUUUGUAGGAGAAUUUGCGUUCAUGUACAAAUCUUAAGGUUUGCAUUUGUAUACAAAGUGAAUUUUGAGACUCAUAUACAAAUCUCUAAUUAGUAUAUUUAGCUAUUAAAGUGUAGCUACAUCCUGUAAUUCAACAAACUUUGACUAUAUCGCUUUAUUUAUUACCUAAAUAUCAGCUAUUUCUCAAAUUUUUGACAUUAGAAAUCAUUGACUAACCACUAAGUUAAAAGUAACUCAUUUAGGAACAAUUGGUAAUAGAAGAGUUGACUAAAAUACUGGAAACCUGAAUAAGGGAAAGGAGAAAGGCAAUGAACAUAAAUUAAAAUUGUUAAGCAAUUGUGCACAUGUAUGUUUGACUUUAAAAUCCAACGUGCACGCAAGUUUGUACCCCAUUAUCUGAGGAGCCAAGUGGGUUAAAACAUACACGUAUCUUCUAUAUACACUAAAUCAAUACAUGUAUGUCAUGCGUGUGAAUUUAGAGGUCAUGUAACUUAACCAUAAUUAAUUAAUACAUAUUUUACUUAAUUAAAUUACUUAACCAUGAUAAAAAAUAUUAAUUUGAUGUAUACACCAUUCCAAGUGCGCCAACUGUUGAGGAAUAAGAGUGAAGAAAGAAAAAGGAGGGAAAGUUAGUUAAAGUAUUCAAGAAGUUAGUUGCAUUGUUGAGGACAGUUACUUAGUUGAAGUCGGUUAGUUAGAAGUUAAGCUAUCAGUUACUCUAUAUAUAGUCGACUAUGUACUACUACCAAUACGAUAAUUCUGAAUACAUCAAUACUACACAAUGGUUUACUCUUCAUUCUUCUCUCUUCUUCUCUGAUUCUAAGAUAGUUGAUCUUCUCCUAUCUCUUCUCUCAUUUCUCUGGUUACAAUGAUUCACUCUUAAUGUGUUUUACUGUGUUAUUCUUCAUGAUAUCAGAGCCUACUGAAUUGAAUUAGUACUCUUAUCGAUCUUUUCUCUGAUUUGAAUUCUCCAGUGUUCAUCUACACACUCAAGAAGUUUAGAAUUCUGACAAUUUCUUGAGUUACUUUGAAGCUAACUGCUUGACUAAUUGAGUUGCUCUGAAAGGAACUCUACUUUAUUGAAGAUGACUACUGAUGGAUCAGUUCCCAACAAUAGUGGAUCAAUCCCACAGCCAGUGCAAACUCCAUUGGAUUAUAAUCAUCCCCUGUUCUUAUCUGUUGCGUAUCAGGUACUUCUCUUGUGUCUUUCCAAUUAAAGGGGAGUGAAAACUAUGUUGUAUGGAGUAAGGCUGUUCGAAUUGCACUACUAGGGCGUAACAAAUUUGGUAUAGUUGAUGACUCCUGUAAGAAAGAAAAUUUCUCUACUGAACUGGGAAACCAAUGGGAAAAAGUUAAUGCUAUAGUACUUUCUUGGCUUAUAAAUGCAGUGUCUACUGAAUUUCUUAGAGGGGUGGUCCAUGCCUCUACUACAUAUUCUAGUUAGAUCUUAAGGAAAUAUUUGAUAAAAUAGAUGGUUCAAGAACUUAUACUUGCAUCAAGAAAUUGCAACCAUGACUCAAGGAGUUCAAUCUGCAUCUGUAUAUUUCAUUAAGUUGAAAGACUUAUGGGAUGAGUUUGAAUCUUUAGUUCCAUCACCUUCCUGUAACUGUGAAAAAUCAAGAGAUUUCUUGGCUUAUUUUCAAAGACAAAAACUGUAUCAGUUUCUAAUAGGCCUAAAUGUGUAACGCUCCCAAACUUUUCCUAGCUAACUUUUAUCCCUAAAGUGUCAAGAUUUGACUUCUAGAAUGAUUUACACUUAUUUAUUUAUAUAAUUCUAUAGAUUUUAACUUUUCAUUACGUAGAUGACUGAAUAACCUUUCCAUCGAUAUAAGAUUCAUCCAAAACGGACACUCGGUGAAGAAGCUAUGGCUAUUUUAUGUGCUAGUCAUAAAACAUCAUCAUUUUGGUGUUUAGCUCAUCACGGAGAUGAUUUAAUUAGCAAUUGUUAAAUUUUAGUGGAACCUCACGAUAGUGGCGCGUCUCGGAGGAUCUCAAUUUCGCAUUCGUCAAUUUUCAGUGAGCCACCGCGAUAGUGGCGUGUCGCGGUGGCCCAUAAAAUCGGGCACCAGUUAUAUUUUUACUCCAUCUCAUUAAGGGUAAAAUGGUACUUCUCCAAUCCCUUAUCAUCUCUAUCACGGGAUUUAAUCCCAAAAACACUAAAGUAAGAUUAUUUUCAUCAAAAUCUCUCAAGAAACUCCAUUAGGGUUUUAAACUAAAAAUUCUCGUAACUCAAGAUUCAACAGUGAGUUUUUGAAGAUAAUUAGAGAUAUGAAAUCCCUAAUCCGUAAGCUUCAAGAAUCAUUCAUUAUUCUUCGAAAUAGAGGUACGCAGGGUUUUCCUAAAAUCUCAUGGGCAUAGAAAUCAUGAUUUUAAGAAAGGGGUUUUCAGAUUUAUGAAUACAUUCAUGUUUUAGAAAUCUUGACGGUAUUAUUUUGGUCUUUUGACCUUCCCCCACAUUGAUUCGAAAUUGUAUAUAUAUGUAUGCUUGCGUUUUAAGGUUGAUGAUUUAAUUGAGAGCAUGACUUUUGUAAAAUCCCUCUCUUGUUUUGAUUUUCCUUUACUUAUCAUAUGCUAUAGAUGUUUUGAAUGCAUCCUUGAAAAGCAUGGUUUAAAAUGUCUUGAAUUGCGUUACGAUUGGAUUAAGAUUUGAAUUUCAAAAGAGAGGAUAGUUGUGUUGAUAAAUGUUGAAAAUAUUCAUAUAAUGAAAGAGUGCAUGAUUUUGCCAAAAGAACAUGACCACCAUAUGUUUAAAGGAUUCUUGCAUAGUUUUGAUUUAUGCUUCAGAACAUGAAAUCUCUUAUACUAUUUGCAUGUUUGGGUGACCUGAACUAUGUUUUAAUGAAAGAUCAUGCUUAUUGUACUAUGGCUCUGAAAUAGGACUUGCAAGUCUUGGUGUGACAACACCAAUUCAUAUUAUGCCAUGAUAAUUCAGAACAAAAUAGAAUGCAUGUUUAAAAUCAGACUUUUUAGAUGUUGAAACUAGAAAAAUGCAUAAAUCAUAAUAGGAUAAAAUUGGGUAUAAAGAGAGCUUAGGUGAUUCCCCGAAGAAGGCACGAGUUCAGACAACUUGUUGUCCAAACCGUGAUUUGUCGAUCUGGGUAUAUUAUAUUAUGCUGGCCUAGUACCGUGUGGCGUAUCAGAAUUAGAAACUCCAACCCUUACAGCACACUCGGGUUGGAGGGUUUCCCCGCCGAUUCAGUGGUUGAUUCCAUACAGCCCGUGAAAUUUUAGAAUUGUAGGGGAGUACCACCUAACUCAGAAGUAAUACAAAGAACAGACAGUGCAUUGACAAGAAUGACUUAUGAUUUUUAGAAAGUGACCAUGUGUUUUGAGAACUGUUUAUGCAUGGUGUUUUAACAAAUUGCUCUCCACUAUUUCACUUAUAUAAAAGUUUUAUUUUGGAUUAAUUUGCAUACCAGUACAUCUGUAUUGACCUCCCUCCCCUCUCCAGGUUCUGAGGCUCAGUUUAGGGGUCCAGAAAAGCAAUAGAUUUUAUCAGACAGAGUUGGAGUGCCCAGUUGGUGAGCAUUCUUUAUUCCAGAAGGCCUGUUUACUUUCAGACAACUAUUAUUAGAUAUGGUUUUGGUCUACUGGGGUCCUUGUCCCAGUUUCAAACAAUUGUUAGAUUUUUCAUGUAGUAGAGAUUUUGCAGAUUGAGUCAGAUGUUAUUUAGAUGUAGUUGAUUUACAGUUUCCAUACUUAUGAUGAAUUCAGAAUUGAUCAUAUUUCUGUAGCACAUUAUGUUUCUGCAUCUUCUUUUAUUAUAUAAAUGCUGUGUAUGAUUAUCAGAUAGAGAAGGGCAUUACGGGCCUUCAUGGUUCGGGAUGUCCAUCACGGCCAGGCCCUUGUUUGGGUCGUGAUAAACUUGGUAUUAGAGCACGGUUCAUGGUCUUAGGGUAUCUGCGAAAUCGUAUCGGGUAGAGUCUUAUUUAUGGGUGUGUAGCAUGCAACACUUAUAAGCAAGAGGCUACUGGGCAUUUAGGAAUAUUUUCUCUCUUUGUGAUUUAGUUUGUGCUUUAGAGUCUGAGAUAGGAUUGUUCCCUAGUCAGUGAUCUAUCGUAUUUUAGAAAACAAUCAUGCCUCCUCGUCGUUCCAACAACCAGGAUACUCAGGAUGAUGAAGUUUGCCCCACCCAUAGGAUGCGGACCCGAAAUAGAGCGCACACCCCAGAACCUGUUUCUACUCUGGGAGUACCUCCAGUCCCGACCAGUCCUCCUCGAGCUCCAACGAUAAAUGUUAACCAUCUUCUAUCUUCUCAGAGGGACAUAUCGAAUGUAGAAUUUAGGCAUUCCAUUCACAUACUUGAACAGCUGGUAGCCGCACAAACUCACAGGUCGGAGGAUACUGGGUCUGCAUCUGUUACUUUGGAGGCUACUAGGGUAGGCCAGUUUAUGAGGAUGAACCCGCCUGAAUUUUUGGGUACUAAGGUAGAAGAGGACCCAUAAGAGUUUGUGGAUAAAAUGGAAAAGAUUUUUAGAGUAAUGCAUGUGGAUCAGGUGGAAGGGGUUGAGUUAGUAGUGUACCAACUUAAAGAUGUAGCGAACCAAUGGUAUAAUGAGUGGGAAGAGACGAAGGGUGAGAAUGUUGAGCCCACAGUUUGGGGCAAAUUUGUGGAAACUUUUCUUGACCAGUUCUUUCCUCUAGAGUUGAGGGAAGCCAAGGCAGAGGAAUUUAUGAAUGUUAAAUACUGGAAAAUGAGUGUCCAAGAGUACACUCUGAAGUUUAACCAACUGGCUCAUUAUGCACCAGAAAUGACAAGUAAUAUGAGAGCCUGAAUGAGGAAGUUUGCAUCCGGCCUUUUCGGUGAUCUAGCUCUUGAAUGCUAAGGGCGAUGCUAAAUAGGGAUAUGGACUUUUCUAGGCUGUCAGUUCACAUGCAGUAGGUAAAAGAGAAAAAAAAGAAAAUUAUCGAAUAUCGAGAGAAGGACAGGCAAGCAAAGAGAGUCGGAAUAGCGGAUCAGAACCACAGUCAACCACAGAGCGGUAACUGGGGCAGUAAAUGGCAAAAGAAGAAGUUUUGGAGUAAUGCACAGUCUGCAGCCAGUGCCCCAGCGCCCAGACCCCCAGUUGAUAGACGGUCUCAGAGUUUUCAGACUAGUCAUGGACCCAGAGCUCAGGAUACUCAGUCCCAGGGCAGCGUGGCUCAGCAGCAUCAUACUUUUCCACGGUGCGAGACUUAUGGUAAGAAUCAUCCAGAAAAGUAUCAGCUAGGCGUAUUUGUGUGCUAUUUUUAUGGUCAGAUGGGUCACUUUCAGAGGGAUUAUCCAUCUUCUAGAAAGAAUGUUGGUGGGACAAAAUCUCAGGCAAAUUUCUUUGCACCACCACCACCUCAGAAGAGCACCACUUCAGCUGCCGGGAGCAGUCGCAACCGGUUAUAUGCUUUGACCAACUGCCAGGAGGCGGAAGCCUCACCAGAUAUUGUCACCAGUACGUUAUGAAUCUUUUCCCGUAAUGUAUAUGUGUUUCUUAAUCACGGGUCUACCUUAUCUUAUGUGACCCCGUAUGUGGCUAUUGGUUUUGGGUUUGAGCCCGAUGUGAUUGCUAAACCUUUCUCUGUUUCCACUCCGAUGGGUGAUUCGGUUGUGGCUAGGAGGGUGUAUAAAAAUUAUGUUGUGUCUAUUCUUAGUAGGGAUACUGUGGAAGACCUCAUAAAACUUGAUAUGGUUGCUUUUGAUGCUAUCCUAGGGAUGAAAUUGGUCCAUCGGUGUUAUGCCACACUAGAUUGUAGAACUCGAAAGGUUACCUUUUCUUUUCCGAAUGAUCUAGUAAUAGAGUGGGAAAGGCACUCUUUAGCACCUAGAGGACACUUCAUAUCUUUCCUCAAAGCCCAUAAACUUAUUUCCAAGGGUUGCUUGUAUCAUCUUAUUCGGGUUAAAGAUUCUAAUGCCGAAAGUCUUUCUCUUCUAUCUAUCCCUAUAGUAAAUAAAUUCUUGGAAGUCUUUCCAGAUGAUUUCCCAGGAAUACUGCCUGAUAGGGAGAUAGAUUUUGGCAUUGAUGUGUUGCUAGAUACCCAUCCUAUUUCUAUUUUGCCAUAUAAAAUGGCUCCUGCAGAACCAAAAGAGUUGAAAGAAUAGCUAGCAGAUCUCCUAGAUAAAGGUUUUAUCAGACCUAGUGUUUUGCCCUGGGGUGUACCUAUACUCUUUGUGUGAAAUAAAAAUAGUUCCCUGCGUAUGUGCAUAGAUUACCGUCAGCUGAAUAAGGUCACUGUUAAGAAUAAAUAUCCUCUUUCUAGGAUUGAUGACCUCUUUGAUCAACUUCAGGGUGCUAAGUGUUUUUCUAAAAUAGACCUUCAUUCGGGAUAUCAUCAGUUUAAAGUUAGGGAGUCAGACAUUCCUAAAACAACUUUUCGAACCAGAUAUGGUUAUUAUAUAUUCUUAGUCAUGUCCUUCGGGUUGACUAAUGCUCCUACAAAUUUCACGGACCAAAUGAAUAGGGUCUUUCGUUAGUUUCUAGACUUGUUUGUCAUAGUGUUCAUUGAUGAUAUCUUGAUUUAUUCUAAAAGUGAGGAGGACCAUGCCAAUCACCUCCGAAUUAUCCUCCAAACUCUCAAAAAUCAUAGGUUGUAUGCAAAGUUCUCCAAGUGUAAAUUUUGGUUAAAUACUAUUGAUUUCUUGGGGCAUAUUAUGUCUAGUGAGGGGAUAAAGGUUGAUCCCCAAAAAGUUGAGGCAGUGAGAAAAUGGCCUAGAACCACGACUCCAACCGACAUUUGGAGCUUCUUGGGUUUGGCGGGUUAUUACAUAAGGUUCGUAGAGAGUUUUUCUUUCAUAGCGGCACCACUUACUAAGUUGACUUAGAAAAAGGUAAAGUUUUUGUAGUCUGACUCUUGUGAGAAUAGUUUUGAGAAGUUAAAAGACAAGUUGACUACUGCUCCUAUUUUGACUCUUCCAGAGGGUACAGAAGGUUUUGUUGUAUACUAUGAUGCAUCCUGAGUGGGACUUGGGUGUGUUCUUAUGCUGCACGGUAAGGUAGUGGCUUAUGCAUCUAGGCAGUUGAAGGUGUAUGAGCGGAACUAUCCUACUCAUGACUUAGAGUUAGCGACUGUGGUUUUUGCAUUUAAGAUCUGGCGACACUAUUUGUAUGGGGUACACGUUGAUUUUUUCACUGACCACAAGAGUUUACAAUAUGUUUUCUCGCAGAAAGAAUUGAAUCUUAGGCUGAGGCACUGGAUGGAAUUGCUAAAAGACUAUAACAUGAGCCUGCACUAUCAUCAGGUCAUGGAAAAUAUGGUAGCCAAUGCCCUUAGCAGGUUGUAAAUGGGUAGCCUUUCUUAUGUGGGGAAAGAAAAGAGGGAGAUGGUGAAGGAUAUUUAUCGACUUGCAAAUCUAGGAGUGCGACUUUUGGAUUCCAAAGAAUGUGAAUGGUUGUUCAUGAGAUAGCUAAAUCUUCCCUUUGUACAGACGUUAAGGAGAAGCAGGUUGAAGAUCUUAUCUUGAUGCAGAUCAAGAAAGAUAUGGGUCAACAGAAGGUGAUGUGCUUUGAAAUUGGUGGUGAUGGUAUUUUGAGAUACCUGGGUAGGUUGUGUAUGCCAGAUGUUGAUGGUUUGCAAAAAAGAAUCCUUGACGAAGCUCACACUUCGAGGUAUGUUGUUCACCCAGGCUCUACUAAGAUGUACCAUGAUCUGAAAUCUAUGUAUUGGUGGAAUAAUAUGAAGCAUGAUGUGGCUAACUAUGUUGCCAAGUGUUUGAAUUGUCAGCAAGUGAAGUGGAACAUAUGAGGCCAGGUGGUUCUUCCCAAGAGAUAGCCUUGCCCUUGUGGAAGUGGGAGAUGAUUAAUAUGGACUUCAUUACAGGAAUUUCGAGGUCCCAAAACCUGUAUGAUUUCAUUUGGGUGAUUGUAGAUAGGCUGACCAAGUCAGCUCACUUUCUACCUGUUAGGACUAAUGAUUUGGGAGAGGAUUAUGCCAAACUUUUCAUUGCAAAAAUAGUUUAUUUGCAUGGGGCACCUGUGUCCACCAUAUCUGGCCGAGGUACAUAGUUUUCUUCAUAGUUUUGGAGAUCGUUUCAUAAAGGUUUAGGUACCCAAGUGAAUCUGAGCAUGACUUUCCACCCUCACACAGACGGUCAAGCUGAGCGCACCAUCCAGACCUUUGAGGAUAUGUUGAGGGCCUGUGUGAUUGAUUUUAAAAGUAGUUGGGUAGAGCACUUGCCAUUGAUAGAGUUCGUAUAUAAUAACAGUUUCCAUUCCAGUAUUAGGAUGGCACCAUUUGAGGCAUUGUAUGGGAGAAGAUGUAGGUCUCCAAUAGAAUGGUAUAAAGUAGGUGAGAUGCAGAUAUUUGGGCCUGAUCUUGUUUAUCAGGCAAUGGAGGACGUGAAAUUCAUUAGAGAAUGACUUAAGACAGCUCAGAGUCAUCAUAAAUCCUAUGCCGUUGUUAGGAGAAGAGAUCUAGUUUUUGAGGUUGGAGAUUGGGUGUUUCUCAUGGUUUCUCCUAUGAAGGGAGUCAUGCGAUUCGGGAAGAAAGAUUAGAUGAGUCCUCACUAUAUAAGACCAUAUCAGGUUUUGAGAAGGAUAGGUGGAGUUACAUAUGAGUUAGAAUUUCCAGCUAGUUUGGGUUCUGUUCAUCUGGUAUUUCAUAUAUCUAUGAUGAAGAAGUGUAUUGGAGACCAUUCUUUAGUAGCCUACCGAAGAAAUCAAAGUGACAGACUCCUUAUCCUAUGAAAAAGAGCCUGUAGAAAUUUUGGAUCGCCAAGUUAGAAGGUUGAUAAACAAAGAGAUAGCCUUAGUUAAAGUGUUGUGGAGAAACCAGAAAAUUGAAAAAACGACUUGGGAAUCAGAUGUUGACAUGAGAGCUAGAUACCCAAACCUGUUUGAUCCAAUGGAUGACGUAAUGGAAGGUACAAUCCUUGCCUUAUUCUUUCUAUACCUUAAUAUGCUUGAAAUUAGGCUUGUUUGUGUCCCGCGUCAACAUUCGGGGAUGAAUGUUCCCAAAGGGGGGGGGAGGAUAGUCUAACUCCCCCAAAUUUUUCCUAGCUAAAUUUUGUCCCUAAAGUGUCAAGAUUUUGCUUUUAGAAUAAUUUAUAAUUAUUUAUCUAUGGAAUUCCAUAGAUUUAAACUUUUCAUUACGUAGAUGACUGAAUAAGCUUUCUAUCGAUAUAAGAUUCGUCCAAAACGGACACUCGGUGAAGAAGUUAUGGCUAUUUUAUGUGCUAGUUGUAAAACAUCAUCAUUUUGGUGCUAUCAAAAGGGCUAGAAAAACUAUGUGUCAACCUAUAAUCCUAGUGCUGUGUGUGAUCAUUUCAAGAUAAAAGGUCAUUACGAGAUAGAUUGCUACAAACUUGUUGGUUACCCUCCGGGACAUCCUAAACAUGGAGAGCACGAGAUUCAGAAUAAACUUAGGACUGGCUAUGAUUACAAGUACAAGCAGAGAAAAGUUGCUUCUAGUGCUCACAAUGUUGUGGAUGAAGAUUGGGAUCAGAAUCAUCAAAACCAAAGUGCUGGACUGCUAUCUUUGCCCCCAAGGUUCACACCUAAGCAAUAUACUUACAUAUGCAAGAUGUUGAAGCAACACAAUCAAGUGACAUCAUCCAUGCCAUCUGGUAGUGCAAUAAAUAUGUCAGGUAUUGGUAGUGCCUUAAUGGUUUGCGAUAAUCCACCUGAGUGGAUUAUAGACACAGGUGCUACAAACCAUAUGACUGCUGUUUUGCGAAAAUUUUUUGACUUUUAAAGAGUCGCCACUUAAUUUUGAAAAGGAAUUAAGAAACCUUUAUAGAAUACUUUAAACGAUCCAAAAUAGAAAAAUCGUUCAAGUUUUGAAGAUUCUAAGUAAGAGUUUCCUAUUAACGUUUCAGGAAGGUGUUAGGCACCUAAAACGCCCACUAACUUGUGGUUAUCCAGACUGUUUGAAAAUCAUUUUUUGAUUAACUUCGAAAAGAUUAAUUUUGUCGAAAAGUGAUUGGUUUUAGAAAAUGAUUUGUGUAAAAUAGAUUUAAUCAACUUAUUAGGGAUUCUAAACUAAGUCUAAACAAAAUGAAUAAGCAAGUAAACACAUAAAAGGGGAAAGGGAGGGGAAAGUAAACGGUUUAGGCCAUCGAGCCCAAAUCAAAGAAACCUGUCCUAAUCUAGUUGAGCUUUCGACCCAUUUUCACCUAUCCAAAUCUAGUUUUUGAGUGUUUGGCUCGAGUCUCGCUUUACCUAUAUGAAAUACAACUUUGGAUUUGAGGCCCCAAAUAAAUGAAUAAAUAAAUAAAUAGAUAAUUAAAUAAAUAAAGGACGAAUAUAUAAACGAAUGUGAAGCCGAAGGGUUUCUAGUCUUCUUAUAGCUUCAAAGACGGGACUGCUCUUCCUCUCUCGUUCUCUUUUUACAUCCAUACGCCAUGCAACGGGUUUUUGGACUUUCUUUCGACUUGACUCAAUGAGAUGGACCUUAUUGGCCCAAUGAGGGAUGCGAAGGGAAGGAGAGUCCAUUUGGACUCCAAGACGGGUUCAUGCAAAGCAAAAAAGUAAUGAAUGUUAAUAUGUGAUCAACUAAGAAAGAAAAAUAAGAAAGGGGGGAUUAAAGAAAAACACAAACAUCAAAUCAAGCAAAUAAAAAAAUGAGAUACAUAACGUAUGACUAUAUGAAGGAAAGAAAUCACAGAGCAAACUAACUCAAUACAAAGCCAAAAGGCUAAUAAGAAAGAGUGAGGGUGCGUUCAUAUUGCCAAACAACAUGCUAAAUAAAUUAUGUCUUGAUGCAGACUUCAUUUGCACUCAAGUGUGAAUAACCCAUUCAAUACCUAAGAGCGUAGAAAUCUGUUUGACAAAAUUAUGGUACACAAAGUGAAUUCUAAAACAAACUCUAAAUCUUCCCUAUGGAUACACUCAAAAUCCUAUACAAUUAGUUAGAAACUCAGAAAAUAUAGAGUCACAGAAAGGUAAUUAAAGAAAAUUAGCUCAAGCAUGGGGUAGAAAACUUUUCCCUUGCAUGAGUUGCACUACGAUCUACUUAUUUUCCCUUCAUAACAAUUAGUGAGUUGAGGAACCUUAGCUAAUACUAGCAAUCCACCACAGAAAUUAACAUCAAACCCAUUACCAAAACACUAUAUAAAGCACAGAGAAUAAAACGCAGAGAAUCCAUACACAUAACGAAAAAUCAUUUCCCUUGAUGAUCAUGAUCAUCUUUUCCCGCUAGAUGAAAUUGCAACCCAAAUUCAAAAAUUUAAACUUUGAAUGAAGCAAAAAAGGAUGUUUAUACACAAUAUCAUUUCCAGGUCAAAACCAUAUUCCAUUAGACAAAACCGACUUGACUCGAAUUCAACAUCAAAGAGACCCCAUCCAUUCUUUUUUACGAUAAAACAAUUACAUUUUCCUUGGGGAUCAAGAAAAUGGAACAUCGACUUAGCACGAACUCAACAAAGAAAUGAAAGGUUCAAAUUUUUCAAUCCCACAACGAAGGGAACACUAAGAUCAGGUAAACAAUAUUCAGCAACCCAAAACUUAUAAAAAUGGAAUCGAAACACGAAACCUUAAUCAUGAAAUUAGGUAAACAAGAUUGCCCACAUCCUGAGACUAUAAAACAAAUUCAAAGCCUGAACUUUAAAUAGGAUCAGCUAUAAUAGGACACCAUUAGCCCUAAACUAUUACAAACAUUAAAAUUUUAUGUAAUAUCAACUAUAACAAGACACUGUCAGCUGGCCAAUGAAGUUAAAAUCAAAACAGGAAUCCCAAAGUGAAUUGAUGGAUUAAACCCACAAUCAAUGCCAAUGCACAACAACAAAUCGAAAGCUAAUUAACAAUGUUAAAAUCAAAUAAAAGAUUACGAAAUCAAGACGAGCAUAUGAUACUUAAGCAACAAGCUUUAACCACUAAGCCAGCAGUUCAACAUCACACAUAAUCACACGACAAACAAUACUUUCAGCAAAACAUACUCUAGGGUCUUAAAGACCUCUUUAACAGAUAACCUCGCAUGCCAUAUCAUUUAGAUUUAGAACUACAAAAGGUUGAGAUGAAGUAGAAGCAAUCUAAAACUAAUGGGAUGGGCUAUUACCUAUUUUGAUGCAACAAACAGGACGACGAGCUAGGGUUAAGAUGUGUAGCCAGCAGAAAAUGACGUCUUCAUCACCUCACACACAUAAUCAAUCAACGAACCCUUGCAGCUUUCGAUUAAACAGUCAACUUUUAAAGAAGCAAGAGCGAGAUAACCUUACUAAAGAAAAUGAUGCUAGAAAAGUUUUCUUUUUCUUUAUUUCUUUCCAGAUUUUUUCAACCAAAAUUCUCCAUAGAAAAUCUUUUUAUUUUUGAACCAAAAUCGAUCAAAACCCAAUUUUCGAACCCAAGAGCCUUAGAAAUUUUCCGAACAAGACUUUCGAACCCCCCAAAUAGAAAACCCAAAGACCUCUAAAAUUUCCAACUUCGAAGGGAAAAGAGAGGAGAGAAAAAAGUUCCCAAAGUUUCGAACCCUAAUUUCAACUCUCGAAUCUCCAACCCCUGAACAAUGACUCCUUCCCCUCUUAAAUAGAAAAUCAAAUUGGGGUAUUUUUUUUUUUGGAAUCUGAAAGAAGGAUCUCUUGAAUUUGAAAUCCCAAAAUUUUCCCCACAACCUCGUUUUCGUCUUCAAUUCGUACCCUUUUUUAGAUUUUUUUAGCCAAAUUGCAAUAGGUGGACCAAUUAAAAAAGGGCAAAAUGAAUUUUACCCGAAAACCAAUGGAAAUCAGCUAAAUAUGUACGAGAUCAUACGAGUUAUCCCAAAAUUUACGGAGUUAGCUGCUGGGGGAUGACACCUAGCUUAUUUCUAGAAGGUUCGAGGGUUUUCCUCACGUGAACCCGUGUGAGACAUGUGAAGAAGGCUACAAAUGGGCUGAUUUGGGUGAAAUCGGGUUGAAGAUGGGUCGGUGGGUUUUCAGGUGAGGUGUUAGAACGGGUUGGAGCUUGGUUGUUGUUGCAAUGUUGAGCGAUUUGGGGAUAUGUUUCUUGCUCUUGGUUGAGGGUUGUUGUUUGAGGGAGAUGGGAAAUAAUGGUGGGCCGGGUUAGGUUUAUUGGGCCUGGUGGGGUGAGAUAUUGGGUUAAUUUAGCUAAAAGGAAA
rnacentral:lncRNA from 1 species